rnacentral:lncRNA from 1 species
AAAUACAUAAGAGACAUCCAAGUUUCCCUCACCCCUGUCAUAAUUAAUAUCUCUGCUCCUAAAAUCACCCCCCAAAAACUAAGAUCUUAUCCAUUAGUCCUUCAUUACCAAUGAUCACUAGAUCAUUCUUACCUUCUCUGUAAGAAAAUAUCUUUAACUGUUUUAUAUUUUCUUGAAAGGGACAAACAAUAUAAUGAGCAGAUGAGCGUCCCUG